AGAAUGUUUCCGUUAAUCAAGAACGAAAGUUAGAGGUUCGAAGGCGAUCAGAUACCGCCCUAGUUCUAACCAUAAACGAUGCCAGCCAGCGAUCCGCCGAAGUUCCUCCGAUGACUCGGCGGGCAGCUUCCGGGAAACCAAAGCUUUUGGGUUCCGGGGGAAGUAUGGUUGCAAAGCUGAAACUUAAAGGAAUUGACGGAAGGGCACCACCAGGAGUGGAGCCUGCGGCUUAAUUUGACUCAACACGGGAAACCUCACCAGGCCCGGACACCGGAAGGAUUGACAGAUUGAGAGCUCUUUCUUGAUUCGGUGGGUGGUGGUGCAUGGCCGUUCUUAGUUGGUGGAGCGAUUUGUCUGGUUAAUUCCGGUAACGAACGAGACUCUAGCCUGCUAAAUAGACGAUUUCCGGUAUCCACAAUAGUGCUACCGGCGAAAUCAAUAUCUUCUUAGAGGGACAGGCGGCUUUCAGCCGCACGAAACUGAGCAAUAACAGGUCUGUGAUGCCCUUAGAUGUCCUGGGCCGCACGCGCGCUACACUGAAGGAAUCAGCGUGUACACCCUGGCCGAAAGGCUCGGGCAACCCGUUGAACCUCCUUCGUGCUAGGGAUUGGGGCUUGCAAUUGUUCCCCAUGAACGAGGAAUUCCCAGUAAGCGCGAGUCAUAAGCUCGCGUUGAUUACGUCCCUGCCCUUUGUACACACCGCCCGUCGCUACUACCGAUUGAAUGAUUUAGUGAGGUCUUCGGACUGGUGCGCGGCGACCGCAUGCGCGGCCGCCGAUGCCACCGGGAAGAUGACCGAACUUGAUCAUUUAGAGGAAGUAAAAGUCGUAACAA
rnacentral:rRNA from 1 species